rnacentral:rRNA from 1 species
GUAGGGAAUAUUGGGCAAUAGGCGAAAGCCUGACCCAGCCAUGCCGCGUGCAGGAUGAAGGUCCUAUGGAUUGUAAACUGCUUUUAUCAGGGAAGAAACCCCCCGAUUUAUUGGGGGCUGACGGUACCUGAAGAAUAAGCACCGGCUAACUCCGUGCCAGCAGCCGCGGUAAUACGGAGGGUGCAAGUGUUAUCCGGAUUUACUGGGUUUAAAGGGUGCGUAGGUGGAUGGGUAAGUCAGUGGUGAAAGCUCCCGACUCAAUUGGGAAAUUGCCAUUGAUACUAUCUAUCUUGAGUGUGGUUGAGGUGGACGGAAUGUGUCAUGUAGCGGUGAAAUGCAUAGAUAUGACACAGAACACCGAUUGCGAAGGCAGUUCACUAAACCAUUACUGACGCUGAGGCACGAAAGCGUGGGGAGCAAACAGG